rnacentral:rRNA from 1 species
CCUACGGGAGGCUGCAGUGGGGAAUAUUGGACAAUGGGGGCAACCCUGAUCCAGCCAUGCCGCGUGUGUGAAGAAGGCCCUCGGGUUGUAAAGCACUUUCAGUGAGGAAGAACGCCUGGUGGUUAAUACCCAUCAGGAAAGACAUCACUCACAGAAGAAGCACCGGCUAACUCCGUGCCAGCAGCCGCGGUAAUACGGAGGGUGCGAGCGUUAAUCGGAAUUACUGAGCGUAAAGCGCGCGUAGGUGGCUUGAUAAGCCGGUUGUGAAAGCCCCGGGCUCAACCUGGGAACGGCAUCCGGAACUGUCAAGCUAGAGUGCAGGAGAGGAAGGUAGAAUUCCCGGUGUAGCGGUGAAAUGCGUAGAGAUCGGGAGGAAUACCAGUGGCGAAGGCGGCCUUCUGGACUGACACUGACACUGAGGUGCGAAAGCGUGGGUAGCAAACAGGAUUAGAUACCCGAGUAGUC